rnacentral:rRNA from 1 species
UACGUAGGUGGCAAGCGUUGUCCGGAUUUACUGGGUGUAAAGGGCGUGUAGCCGGGCUGACAAGUCAGAUGUGAAAUCCGGGGGCUCAACCCCCGAACUGCAUUUGAAACUGUUGGUCUUGAGUAUCGGAGAGGCAGGCGGAAUUCCUAGUGUAGCGGUGAAAUGCGUAGAUAUUAGGAGGAACACCAGUGGCGAAGGCGGCCACCUGGACCGGUAUUGACGCUGAGGCGCGAAAGCGUGGGGAGCAAACAGG